rnacentral:rRNA from 1 species
CCCUUAGAUGUUCUGGGCCGCACGCGCGCUACACUGACGGAGGCAGCGAGCGUGUCCUUCGCCGGUAGGUGCGGGCAAUCUUGCGAAUCUCCGCCGUGCUGGGGAUAGAUGGUUGCAAUUGUCGAUCUUCAACGAGGAAUUCCUAGUAAGCGCGAGUCAUCAGCUCGCGCUGAUUACGUCCCUGCCCUUUGUACACACCGCCCGUCGCUACUACCGAUUGAUUGGUUUUGUGAGGGCUUCGGACUGCGGCCAGAAGCGGGCGGCAACGUUCGCUCUGGCAUUGCGGGAAGUAGCUCAAACUGAAUUCGUCAGAGGAAGUAAAANUCGUAACA